AUCAAUGACUCCAUUCCCUUGGAAGACAACCCCACUCAGCUUACUGAAGUCAAGCCAUAAUCUCGCAAGAUCUUGAUCCCAGCUCUCCGGUUCGUCCGGUGCUAUUAUUGUUCCAUCAAUCUGAAUAAAAUCAUAUCAUCUGUGAAAUGCUUGAUGAAACUUGAUCAUAUGCAGUUAACUCUGAUUUGCCAUCGUUACCUGGACAAUCAGCUUAUCACCACAAGGUCCUUUGAAUUUCGUCGCAGCUACCAGAUAUCGGCGACCUAGAGGAACCAAGAACACUGCAUUGGAUGAUGCAUUACAGGCAGUGCUCCAAGCUUUUACAAAGGCCUGAGUAUCAUCAGAAACUCCAUCUCCAGCAGCACCGAAGCUAU
rnacentral:lncRNA from 1 species